ACUUGAAAAAAUUGAAAAAAAAAUCUGAAUUUUGAGUUAAACGAAUCGAGUUAAUCGAGUUAUUCAAAUCAACUCAAAUUUCGAGUUCAAAUCCAGUUUAAUUUUCGAAUUCGAAUAACUCAAAUAAUUCAAAUAAACCGAAUAUCAAACUAUAAUAUUUUAUAUUUUUACCUCAAAAUCUCAAACCUUUUUACUUUGCCCCAAUACUUUUACACCCUCCCACUUUUCCCAAAAAACUUUUACUCCCCUCCCUUCUCACCCCCAUCUACCCUAAACCUAUCCCCCCCCCCAAUUUUUUUUAAAUAUUUUCCCCUCAUCUACUUUC
rnacentral:lncRNA from 1 species